rnacentral:misc_RNA from 1 species
CCGAGUUUACAACUCCCAAACCCUAUGUGAACAUACCUAUGUUGCUUCGGCGGGACCGCCCCGGCACGCCCCCUUGGGGGUCGGCCCGGAACCAGGCGCCCGCCGGGGACCUAAAAUUCUUGUAUUUUUGUGUUUCUUCUGAGUGGCGAAAGCAAAAAAAAUAAAUCA